rnacentral:rRNA from 1 species
AGAGUUUGAUCAUGGCUCAGAGCGAACGCUGGCGGCAGGCUUAACACAUGCAAGUCGAGCGCUCGUAGCAAUACGGGAGCGGCAGACGGGAGAGUAACACGUGGGAACGUACCUUUCGGUUCGGAAUAACUCAGGGAAACUUGAGCUAAUACCGGAUACGCCCGCAAGGGGAAAGAUUUAUCGCCGGAAGAUCGGCCCGCGUCCGAUUAGCUAGUUGGUGAGGUAAUGGCCCACCAAGGCGACGAUCGGUAGCUGGUCUGAGAGGAUGAUCAGCCUCACUGGGACUGAGACACGGCCCAGACUCCUACGGGAGGCAGCAGUGGGGAAUAUUGGACAAUGGGCGCAAGCCUGAUCCAGCCAUGCCGCGUGGGUGAUGAAGGCCUUAGGGUUGUAAAGCCCUUUCGGCGGGGAAGAUAAUGACGGUACCCGCAGAAGAAGCCCCGGCUAACUUCGUGCCAGCAGCCGCGGUAAUACGAAGGGGGCUAGCGUUGCUCGGAAUCACUGGGCGUAAAGCGCACGUAGGCGGGUCUUUAAGUCAGGGGUGAAAUCCUGGAGCUCAACUCCAGAACUGCCUUUGAUACUGGAGACCUAGAGUUCGGGAGAGGUGAGUGGAACUGCGAGUGUAGAGGUGAAAUUCGUAGAUAUUCGCAAGAACACCAGUGGCGAAGGCGGCUCACUGGACCACAACUGACGCUGAUGCACGAAAGCUAGGGGAGCAAACAGGAUUAGAUACCCUAGUAGUCC